rnacentral:ncRNA from 1 species
CAAAGGCAUGGUCCCGACCUUACUGUCAGCUCUAACCCAACUUACACAUGCAAGUCUCCGCAAUCCAGUGAAUAUGCCCUCAAUCCCCCGCCCGGGGAAGAGGAGCAGGCAUCAGGCACAAAAAUCUAGCCCAAAACGCCUAGCCUAGCCACACCCCCAAGGGAAUUCAGCAGUGAUAAACAUUAAGCCAUAAGUGAAAACUUGACUCAGUUAGUGUUAAAAGGGCCGGUAAAACUCGUGCCAGCCACCGCGGUUAAACGAGAGGCCCUAGUUGACAAUACAACGGCGUAAAGGGUGGUUAAGAGUAAACGUAAAUAAAGUCAAAUGGCCCCUUGGCCGUCAUACGCUUCUAGGCGUCCGAAGCCCUAACACGAAAGUAACUUUAAUAACUUCGCCUGACCCCACGAAAGCUGGGAAACAAACUGGGAUUAGAUACCCCACUAUGCCCAGCCGUAAACUUAGACAUCCAUCUACAAUUAGAUGUCCGCCAGGGUACUACAAGCAUUAGCUUAAAACCCAAAGGACUUGACGGUGUCUCAGACCCCCUAGAGGAGCCUGUUCUAGAACCGAUAACCCCCGUUAAACCUCACCACUCCUGGCCACCCCAGCCUAUAUACCGCCGUCGUCAGCUUACCCUGUGAAGGUAAUAAAAGUAAGCAAAAUGGGCACAACCCAGAACGUCAGGUCAAGGUGUAGCGCAUGGAAUGGAAAGAAAUGGGCUACAUUUUCUAUUACAGAACACUACGAACAUGCACCAUGAAACAGUGCUUGAAGGAGGAUUUAGUAGUAAAAAGGAAAUAGAGUGUCCCUUUGAACCCGGCUCUGAGACGCGCACACACCGCCCGUCACUCUCCCCUGUCAAAACGCACCAAAAAUACUUAAUAAACCAGCACUGACAAGGGGAGGCAAGUCGUAACACGGUAAGUGUACCGGAAGGUGCACUUGGAAUAAACC